UCGGCUUAGAGUUUGAUCAUGGCUCAGGACGAACGCUGGCGGCGUGCCUAAUACAUGCAAGUCGAACGAAUUGGUGCUUGCAUCAUUGAGUGGCGAACUGGUGAGUAACACGUGGGAAACCUGCCCAGAAGUGGGGGAUAACACCUGGAAACAGAUGCUAAUACCGCAUAACAACUUACCGCAUGGUCGAGUUUGAAAGAUGUUCGUAUCACUUUUGGAUGGUCCCGCGGCGUAUUAGCUAGAUGGUGAGGUAACGGCUCACCAUGGCAAUGAUACGUAGCCGACCUGAGAGGGUAAUCGGCCACAUUGGGACUGAGACACGGCCCAAACUCCUACGGGAGGCAGCAGUAGGGAAUCUUCCACAAUGGACGAAAGUCUGAUGGAGCAACGCCGCGUGAGUGAAGAAGGGUUUCGGCUCGUAAAACUCUGUUGUUAAAGAAGAACAUAUCUGAGGUAAUUCAGGUAUUGACGGUAUUUAACCAGAAAGCCACGGCUAACUACGUGCCAGCAGCCGCGGUAUACGUAGU
rnacentral:rRNA from 1 species